rnacentral:tRNA from 1 species
CAGGGAGACAACACAAUGAUUUUGAUGCCUGAGUGUUUUUAUUCUUAGGCCGAAAUCCUGUCACCUUAGGUCGAUCGGUACCUCAGCUUUGAAGUUAAGGAUCAGCAGCAAUGUUGAUUGCUUGAUGGAGAUUUUCAGUUCCUAAACUUUGUCUAGGUCACACCCCAAAGGGGAUGAGACUCCUGGGCCAUUAGCUCAGGUGGUUAGAGCGCACCCCUGAUAAGGGUGAGGUCCCUGGUUCAAGUCCAAGAUGGCCCAUAUCUCUAUGUUGGGGGUAUAGCUCAGUUGGUAGAGCGCCUGCUUUGCAAGCAGGAUGUCAGCGGUUCGAGUCCGCUUACCUCCACUGAUUACCACCUCUUCCAUAAUUUGAAGAAAGGAAACUUUUUGAGUUGUGAUCAAAUUCUGAACGAAUCUAGCUUCCUAAUGAAUCCAUUAAGAUGCUGGACUCAUUGAAUUAAUUUUCAUUGUUUUCAGAGAACCUUGACAACUGCAUAGAUUAUUUUUAAAGACAAUAAGCAUCUUUAAUGAUGCAGAUUUAUUAUUUGUGCUGAUGCAUUAAUAACAAUUCUAUUAAGCUGAUGCUUCAAUUUUGAAGUUAUU